rnacentral:misc_RNA from 1 species
GUUCGUGCGGAGGCUGGGACGUGCUUGUCCAUUCUCGUCUCUUCGUAAAUUGUUACGCGACGAAAUCUUAAACUGUUGGUUGCAUUUUAAGUGUUGACGGAAAUAUCUUAAUUAUCGCGAGUGUUCUGUUGAUUUGUGAUCGUUUGUGGAAAUUUCGGAAAUGCUGUGGGAUUUUAACGUGUGUCCGGGAUUUCGUUGGUGACUUGAGCCUUCAUCGUUUCUGCUUUAAAAAAAUACGGUUACUCAUCUCUUCGCUAUUUUUUAAAAUAUUCUAAAAA